AUUGAACGCUGGCGGCAGGCCUAACACAUGCAAGUCGAGCGAGCGGCGGACGGGUGAGUAAUGUCUGGGAAACUGCCUGAUGGAGGGGGAUAACUACUGGAAAAGGUAUCUAAUACCGCAUACUAUCAGAUGUGCCUAUAUGGGAUUGGCUAGUAGGUGGGGUAAUGGCUCACCUAGGCGACGAUCCCUAGCUGGUCUGAGAGGAAGACCAGCCACACGGGAACUGAGACACGGCCCAGACGCCUACGGGAGGCAGCAGGGGGGAAUAUUGCACAAUGGGCGCAAGCCUGAUGCAGCCAUGCCGCGUGUGUGAAGAAGGCCUUCGGGUUGUAAAGCACUUUCAGCGAGGAGGCGUUACUCGCAGAAGAAGCACCGGCUAACUCCGUGCCAGCAGCCGCGGUAAUAC
rnacentral:rRNA from 1 species